CCUACGGGGGGCAGCAGUGGGGAAUAUUGCGCAAUGGGCGAAAGCCUGACGCAGCGACGCCGCGUGAGGGAUGAAGGUCUUCGGAUCGUAAACCUCUGUCAGCAGGGAAGAACGGUCACUGUGCUAAUCAGCAGUGAAUUGACGGUACCUGCAAAGGAAGCACCGGCUAACUCCGUGCCAGCAGCCGCGGUAAUACGGAGGGUGCGAGCGUUAAUCGGAAUUACUGGGCGUAAAGCGCUCGAAGGCGGUAUGUCAAGUCAAGGGUGAAAGCCCCGCGCUCAACGGGGGAACUGCCUUUGAAACUGGAGAACGGGAGUGUGGGAGAGGGUAGUGGAAUUCCAGGUGUAGGAGUGAAAUCCGUAGAUAUCUGGAGGAACACCAGUGGCGAAGGCGACUAUCUGGCACAUAACUGACGCUGAGGAACGAAAGCGUGGGUAGCAAACAGGAUUAGAUACCCGGGUAGUC
rnacentral:rRNA from 1 species